rnacentral:lncRNA from 1 species
UUAUAAUUAUGAAAUUUAGAAUUAUGAGAAAGAAAAUAAAGUAUAAUUUAGCACUUAAUACUUAUUCAAUUGUACAUCUGACAAUACCUCGCAUAUACGUAUAUACUCAGUUCCCAAUUUCAAAUCAAAUCAGUGAUGGUGGUUAUAUAAACAAUUUUACUAAAUUGAAUUUAAAAUCUGUGAUUAUUUCUACAUAUUAAUUCAAAAAAAAAAAAAAUAAUCUAUAAAUUGCAACGAGCCGAUAAAUCAAUACUUGAAGAAACCAAGCCAAAAAGAAAAGGGGCUACCUGAAAUUCUGAGUCUCUCCGACUGGUAGCAGGGCCCACCUGACUGAAUGGGGCUCCUUUGUUGGCAGCUAUACGUUUGGGUCAAAAGAGGCAGCAGCAGAUCGACCAAUUAGGAUGCUUCUAGAAUGUCUAGCAGGUAGUGGAAGGCAAUCGGUAUUAGGUGUAGCCGAUUGGGAGGAAUGCAGGUUCCGGAGGUGAUGAUCCAAGCGACUUGAUGUGGUAACACGUGGAGUAGCAAGUGAGGUGGAAGCAGUAACAAUAAAAAUGCAGCAAAAGUAGAAGCAGAGGAUAAGCAGAAGGUACAGGAAGGCCUAAAAAUGGGGACCACACAUGAGGUUCGACAUGGCUGUCAAUUUUAUGGCAUUUUUGUGUGGAUCGGGUGUGUUAGGACCCAUUAGGGACCAUCUUAAUGGUGUAUCAUAUCUGUGUAGUAUGUAUAUUUAUGUAUGAAUUUUAAAUAAAUUAUUUUAUGAAACUAUGGUUGAGAUUUACUUUAUCUUGGUAAAAAAAAAUUAAUAAAUCAAUUAAUAUAUCUGUUGGAGAUUAAACCUGUAACAAGGAGUAUGGGAAUAAAGUGAUGUUUUUCUUGUAUAAUUGGACAGGUUAAAGGAGAAAAACACUAAUUCCAGAAGAUCCAAACACUAUUAAGAAAACCAAACGGUGAUAUAGGAAUAAGGGGAAAAGUUGAAUUCUCAUUUUUAUAUCCUUAUCUCAGUUUAUGAAUUAGAGGAGUAUGAGAAUAAAGUGAUGUUUUUCUUGUAUAAUUCGACAGGUUAAAGGAGAAAAACACUUAUUCCGGAAGAUCCAAACACUAUUAAGAAAACCAAACGGUGAUAUAGAAAUAAGGGGAAAAGUUGAAUUCUCAUUUUUAUAUCCUUAUCUCAGUUUAUGAAUUAGAGGAGUAUGAGAAUAAAGUGAUGUUUUUCUUGUAUAAUUGGACAGGUUAAAGGAGAAAAACACUUAUUCCGGAAGAUCCAAACACUAUUAAGAAAACCAAACGGUGAUAUAGAAAUAAGGGGAAAAGUUGAAUUCUCAUUUAUAUAUCCUUAUCUCAGUUUAUGAAUUAGAGGAGUAUGAGAAUAAAGUGAUGUUUUUCUUGUAUAAUUGGACAGGUUAAAGGAGAAAAACACUAAUUCCGGAAGAUCCAAACACUAUUAAAAAAUCCAAACGGUAAUAUAGGAAUAAGCCUAAUUCUUAAUGAGCACUAUUAUAGCACACAUUAAUCUUUUACUUUUCUAAGGUUAUCAGAGAACAUUUAUCAGGAUUGAAAUUGAGUUUAUUUUUAUUAAACUAAUGGCAAACUGCAUCAUGCGGCAAUCAAUCAAAUUCAAAAUAUGCUUUAUUGUUCUAUUUGUUGUUGUGAACAAAGCUGUAUAAAACAAAAAAGUAGGUGAGAACAAACAACAAAAAAUAUAUGAAAUAUACAGACAAAUAAAACAAGAUUAAAAUGAAAUACAAUAAAGUGCUGAUAAAACUUAAAGCUAAAAAAAACAAUCAAUCUUAUACCAGCAAGAACUAAAUACAUUAAAAGGUAUCAUUAUAAUAUUCUUCAAUAUCAUAAUAGGGUCUUACAACAAGCAAUUUCCUAACUUCCCUUUUAAAUCUAUGAGCCUGAGAAAUCUGUCUUAUUCUAAUAGGCAAAUGGUUAAAAAGUUGACGACUGUUAUAGGCAACAAAGUCACGCACGAGGACCGAUCUGGGAAUGGGCAAUGGUACCCUAUGUGCCUGCCUUGUCGAGUAACAAGACAAAUCCUGAUGCAAAGAGGAAACGAACGAAACGAACGAAAAAGACGCAAAUAUCAUAAAAUUAUUAAUAAAUGUGAGACAUUAUGAGUAACCUUAGGAAGUUAUAAAUAGAAGAGGUCCUAGGUUACUGCGUUAAGCUACUCAGAUGUUACAAAUAUUGAUUGUCGCACCUUAACCUUAAUAUUUCAUAAACUGAAUUGCAUACUCCGAGAAUCCUAGUACACUUGUGAAUUUUAUGAGUCAAAGAUUUUGGCUAAGGAAUUUAAAAUACUUGUUGGUUUUUAGUUUAGAACUUCGCUUUUAUCACCUGUCUUAAAAAUAAGAGAAAUAAUAGAUAUUUUAAGAACAUUGGGAAAAAACUUCACUAUUAAUAUAUUUAUUGAAAAAAUAUGUUCGAGACUGUAGAAGAAAGUCAAUAGAGCUAGAGAAAUUUGGUAUACCAAUGUAAUGGUGUCCAUCUGAAGAAGUUAUAAAGCCGGAGAUAUUAUUCACAUUGAAAUGUAAGUAUAUGAAGGUCUCUGAAGUACUGCCUACAAUGUCUACACCCCAGGCAUGGUCAUGAUACAUUUUCGUCGAAGCUUAACGAUUUUCUAUUAAUGUAUAGCACACAUUUGCAGAGAAGUACCCAUGGUAGACAGACAACAUGUCAAACAACAACGUUAAUUUAGCAUCUAAUGUAAUAAAGUUUAGCUUGUUGGUAGCUUCGAUGCAUUUAGCGAAAGUUUUUUGGCCAAAAACCAUUCAUGAUUAUUUGUAUUGCUAUCAUGUAUCAUGAUUUAAAAUGGGAUCUAAAGCGGAGUACUGAAUAACAUUACUAGUAUCACCUGCAAAAAGGAGGUUUUAAAUAUGUUGAACAUUUGGAAGAUCAUUAAUGUGUAUGAGGACCAAGGACAGAACCUUGUGGAACAGUCAGUUGACAAACUGCUGCUGGAACCAACAUAUUAAUUGUGAACCUGAAGGUAUGACUGAAUCAGUCUCAUACUAUUAAUAUUCAGAUGGUAUAAUUUCAAUUUCUGUAUAAGGAUCCCAUGAAAGAUACAAAUGCUUUAGUGAGGUCAUAAAAAGCAGCAUAUGAAUCCAUAUAUCGUGGGUAUUCUGCAAAAAGUGACCAAGUCAAAAAUCGACUAUUUUCUGUUUUUGUGUCCAAGUGAUUAGGAAUUAUUUAAUCUUUAUCAUAAAAAAUUACCCAAAGUCAAUAUUAAAAUUGUUUGUAAAAUAUUGCCGGUUAUGACCAAGUGUAUAAAAGUACUCAUAAUGCAGUAAACAGAGACCAACUCGACUUGGUCAUUUUUACUUAGUAUAGCCCUUUCCAGUAAAACUGACUAACUUGACUUGGUCAGUUUCUGUGGUAGCAUUUCUUAUUAAAUUUUACUUAUGCAGUGACGUGGUCAGUAUUAUUAUUAGUAAACAUUCAAGUCGUAGUGAUUUGUGGUUUUAAUUACAAAGUCUAGCUUUGAAUAUCAUUAGAAUGAGUUUCAGAGGAAAACAUCUGCUGUUUUUAUGACCUACAAAUGUAAUACAUAUUAAUUCUGAAGGUAUGUAUAUAGUUUAAAAUUAGUGUUUUUGAGGUUAGAAUUUUAUUUCUUAUAGUUUUCAAAGUAUCAAUAUAAAUUAAUAAAGGUAUAUUAGCGUAUAAAUAUCUAAAUUAACUUAAACUGUGCUGUGUUAAUAAGAACAAUAAACAAUAAUAAUAAUUAUGUUAUUAAUAAAAACAUUUAGCCAACUAUCCACUAUAAUAGCACAAAAAAGGCAUUUUCUCAAAUAGAUAAUUUUAUUUAUUAUAGAAGCAUUAGUAGUUUGCUUAAUCUGCUGUUGAGAUUUUUAUUUUAUGGCUUCAUUCUUAAGUAUAAAUAAAAAUUAAAUUAUUGGAAUAGAAACAACGUCAAGUGCGAGAUUCAAAUAGUGCACCCCGGCAGAUAGAUAACUUGGAGCAGAACGAGGAAGAAGGAAAUAACGAGGCGGUGAUGCAAGAUCUGGCCUUAAAAGAUAUUGAUCUCAAACAGCUCAGUAGAUCAGCGCCCAAUAUAUGAGUUACAUAUUGUGAAACUAGAGAGACCACCGAUAGUGACAGUGAUGAUAGAGGUUCAUGAUAGGGCCAAGAAAGUUUAAAGAAACAAAACAAAAAAAACGUAGAUGAAAUAAUUGCAGGUGCAAGCACAUCUUCAGCUAGCAUUGUUGCAUAUGAGAGUAGUGAUCAGUACAUACCGAAUGAAAUCUCCUCAAGCGAUGAAGAAGUUUAAUAAGAAAAAAAGGAGGAAAUACCGAUGGGAAAGUAAAGAUCCUAUAAACUGGCAAAAAAAUAUAGCUAAAGCGCAAAGGUCUGCUGGCGAAGCAUACGCGGCUAGAAAAAAUAUUCAAAAAUCUCCAAAACUGCCAAGAGAUCAACUGUCAAAAUUGUCUUUUUAAAUGCUCCAAUAAUUUCUGUAAAAAGGAGAUAAAAAAUAAAUUGUCCCAAUUAUUAAAAAAUGACUUACAUGCAUCAAAAGCAUUUUCUUAUAAGUUGUAUUAAGGCUGCUAAACCCAGGUGCCAAAGGAUAAGAACUGGUACGGGGGCAAAGAAGUUAUCUAGUAGAAAAUAUUACCUUACAAAAGGAAAUGUAAAGUUGCAGGUAUGCCCUGCAUAUGGUCUUGUAGAAAGGUGCCAAUGAAAUGGGCAUAUUUGAAAAUCCAGAUAAAAGUGGAAUAUUGUGUAUUCCACCCAAUAAAACUUCUGAGGAGAUUAUUCAAAAGGUGAAGGCUUAUAUUGAAGGAUUUCCAACUAUGGAGUCCCACAAUUGUCGGAAAUCAAGUCACCGUAAAUACUUAGAUCCUUCUUUAUCGAUUUCAAAAAUGUACGAACUUUAUGUUCAAGAAUGCGCUGGAAGGAAUGAAAAAUUUGUAUCGGAAAUAACUUAUCGAAUUGCCACUUUUGAUUUACAGAGUGUUUUACGUAUUCCCUCUUCUGAAAUAUCUCAAAUGUAUUACAUCAUGAAACUUUGCGCCUAUAAUUUAACGAUCUACGAGUCUACAAGUUCAAAUGCGGCAUACUGCUAUGCUUGGAGUGAACCGAAUGACCAAAGAGAUAGCUGCGAAUACAAUGAAGCUUACAAUGUAAAAGAGCUACGCUACGGAGAUUUUUACGACCUUAAAGCCCUGGCAAUUGCUAUAAUAAAAAAUAAAACAAAAGAUGUUCAAGGAGAGCAAGUGCACUGGUUAAAAAUUAGUAUAAAAGUUAUGAAAUAAGAAAAAAGUCAUUCAGGACGCAUACUAUUUAAAUACAAUUAUAGUGAAGAGGACUUUCGCGUUCUACGAGUAGUUGUUCGUGGAAGGCCUACAGAAAAAUUUACACCCUUAUACAAAAACUUGCUGCCCAUCUCAGAAAAGAAGAAGACAAGUCUUAUGAAGUUGGUUGACAAUAACAAUAUUCCAAUGGAGUAUCAUAAUUGGUCUAAAUCUCUUCCUGUAGAUAAAAAAAGGAAUAAUCCAGCCCCGGAACCAACUUAUUCGGAAUCUAACUCUGAAUGUGACUUUGUAACAUGUUGACAUGUAAUGUUUUCUGAGUAUACAAUAUAAUUAUUUCGACCAAGUCAGUAAAUCUUGUUUUUUUGUAACAUCAUGUAUGACCAAGUCCAAGUUUUCCUCUUAUACAAAAAAAUCUGUGGAAUAUUAGAUAAAUAAAUUUUAAAAUUUUUA